rnacentral:rRNA from 1 species
UCGAGAAUCUUCCGCAAUGGGCGCAAGCCUGACGGAGCGACGUCGCGUGAUUGAUGAAGUCCUUCGGGACGUAAAGAUCUUUUAUCGGGGAGAAAAUCUGCGCAAGCAGAUGUGAUAGUACUCGAUGAAUAAGGGGUUGCUAAACUCGUGCCAGCAGCAGCGGUAAUACGAGUGCCCCAAGCGUUAUCCGGAAUUACUGGGCGUAAAGGGUGUGUAGGCGGUCGGGUUAGUCGGUUGUUAAAGCUCCUGGCUUAACUGGGAAAAGGCAACCGAAACGGCACGACUAGAGGAGGCGAGGGGUCUAUGGAACUCAUGGUGUAGGGGUGAAAUCCGUUGAUAUCAUGGGGAACACCAAAAGCGAAGGCAGUAGACUGGCGCCUAACUGACGCUGAAACACGAAAGCGUGGGGAUCAAACGGGAUUAGAUACCCGCGUAGUCC